GACGAACGCUGGCGGCGUGCCUAACACAUGCAAGUCGAACGGAGUCCGGCCCUUCGGGACCUUACUUAGUGGCGAACGGGUGAGUAACGCGUGAGGAACCUGCCUUUCAGUGGGGGACAACAGUUGGAAACGACUGCUAAUACCGCAUAAUGCUUUUGAGUGGCAUCACUUAAAAGUCAAAGAUUUAUUGCUGAAAGAUGGCCUCGCGUCUGAUUAGCUGGUUGGCGGGGUAACGGCCCACCAAGGCGACGAUCAGUAGCCGGUCUGAGAGGAUGAACGGCCACAUUGGGACUGAGAUACGGCCCAGACUCCUACGGGAGGCAGCAGUGGGGAAUAUUGGGCAAUGGGGGAAACCCUGACCCAGCAACGCCGCGUGAAGGAAGAAGGCCUUCGGGUUGUAAACUUCUUUUACCAGGGGCGAAAGAAAUGACGGUACCUGGAGAAAAAGCAACGGCUAACUACGUGCCAGCCGCCGCCGUAACAC
rnacentral:rRNA from 1 species